UACACAACGGUCGUCGUAUACCAGUAAUGUUGGCAGCGGAAUAUAAUAAUAAUAAUAGUAGUAGUAGUAAUAAUAAGAAGAAGAAGUAAUAAUUACCGAUACAUGUGCCCGGAGUUUGCAGUCGGAGUUCAACGGUUCGUAAAUCGUAGGUGGACAAACGCAAAUCGAUUGCGACGCGUCAAUGGAUUUUCGUAAGCACGCGGUUUUCAAAUGAUUUUCCAGACAACCCGGCACGAAGUAUUGAUAUAAUUCUAUACUACAAAUAAAACCUAGUCUGGAUCAACCAAUUAUUUAAUUAAAUGUAAUUAAUAUUAAUUUUAUAUUAAUUGUACUACAGUAUGAUGAUAGAUUGAAAAAUAAGUGAUAUCUAUUUUAAAUCUAUAAAAUAUAAUUUCACUGAAAUAUA